UCGUAUAAAGCAGCAUAUGUUUGAUUAUGUUCGUGUAUAUCGCGUCAGAAAUCGUAAUGACUGCAGAGGAAAAUGAAACAUUCCAGCCGUGCAACGGUGCCUGUGGAAAAGAGGAUCAGAGGGAAUCGAACACGAUCAUUUAUAAUCUCCGUAAGGACGAUGCUCGAUACGAAUAUACCAGGCACACAGUUCCGGUGGCGUACUUUUCCCGUAAAAGGGAAAACGCCCCAAAUAUGAGUUUUCUUCGGCUACAGUCUACCUUCAGUGUUGCGACCAAUGCUUAGUUUGAUUGCCUGGAUAUUCAAUUUUGAGUUCAUUGUUUACAGGUUGAAUGAAUUCUAUAACUUUUAGGACACAUUGGUCCGCUCUAUAUAUUUUGUCAGUUGUUUGAUUAAAAUUUUCUAAAUUAUCUUAAAAUCUAAAUUGUUCUUAAUUGCACGAUUGAUUUAAAAGAGUUGCCUUUCGCUGUUAAUAUAAAAAUAUUGUUAAUAUGAUAUAAACACUUCUUGUUUAAGUAGUAUUCGAUAUGUAACAAGCAUAGAUUAUAGUAGUUAGUUGUAUAGUCAAGCAUUCUAUGUAUACAGGUAGAUAGAUCGACAUUAAUGAAAAUCGAAUGGGACGCAGAACAAUUUAACUACGUGAAAUGCAGAAACUUUUAAUCAAAAUUGUUUUAAACCUAUUUCAACCGGUAUUAUGUUCGACACCUCAAUAAAUGAUAGUCAUUUAAUUUCUCCAUAAUUACUGCGAUACAUACUUGCCUUUUAUCUAACUGAUGUUUAUUUAAACCUUAUUUAAGUUUCAUAUAAAAAUUUGUAUAUGAAAAAUGUAUAUGAAUUUUUGUAACUGGUUACGUAAUAAUAU